GCUGGGAAAGGUUGCGUUCUUCUGUAAUGGAGUGCUGGCUCGAACAGCUUCGGGGCUGAGAACAGACGUGGACGUCCUCCCCUUCGUGUCGCUGGGAUCUGCUGAUGUUGUGGCUGAGUUCACCACGGUAUCCUCUGGUGUCUGCCUGGUAGUCUC
rnacentral:SRP_RNA from 11 species